rnacentral:lncRNA from 1 species
UUAGAAAAAAAUAGUCUUUUAUUUUGAUAAACAUGUAGAUAGCAGUAACUAUAAAGGCUAGUAUACUUAAUAUGUACAUUAUAUCUUUUAAAGGAGAAUCUGGGGCAUUUCCUUGUGUUAUAUACAAUAACAGAAUCAUGGUCCCUUCAGGUUAUUGUUCUUUUGUUUUAAUACAUACAUCUUGAGUUUCUUCUGCAUCCUUGUUCUCCUUGACAUCAGCCACUCUGUCAAAUCUCUGUAUUCCUAAGUUUCUUUUCUAAGAGUUAUUUUCCUGCAGAAAUUCUCCUUUUAUCCAAAUCCUGGUCAAGCAGGUGUCAAAAGGUCUGAUGCUGUUAGUCAGGGACAUCAAUUCUCUCUUUUCACAUCUCAUUACAGAGGCCUUAAGCUCAGAUACCCACUGGUGAUAGACAGGGCAGGUCACACAUUGAGAGAAGAACUCCUUACAGUACUGAAAGGAAAGGAAGGUCCAUUAGCUCUGGGAUUAGUGCUUCAUUCUCCUAACAUGCUACUUCAUCAGAACUUACAAAGGUCCUCAUUCAGCAUAUUCACUCAUGGCUGGGGGAACAGGAAGGAGUUACUGAUGGCAAAAUAAGCCUGGAAAACAGAGGAAUUGGAAUGUGUUUUAGACUCAGAAGGGCUGGAGGGAGCUGUAUCAAAUUAUAGACUGAACCAUAGACUACAGGUCCAUUGAGCAAGGCUAAAUGUUAAUAUUUUAAUGAUACUGGGUAGCAGCUGGCAAAGGUGGAAAGUUAAGAAACCCAGUCCAGAACUAGAUGCAAUAAUAUCGGGAAGGAUACAUAAGGUAGGUAGAAACUUUCUAGGUGGAGAAACAAAGGAUUCAAAGAGUAAAGGGAAACAGAGCCAGUAAAAGGGAAAAAAGGAAGAGAUGCAGGUGGUAGAAAGAGCACCAUAGGGUAGAACUAAGUGAAUCAGGUGUUAGUCAAAGGACAGCUGAGAAACAGGUACCUCAAGGGUUUGGCUGUGAAGCUCUAGAGGAAUAUGCAUGAAGAUACCCUCUGGCAUUUUCUGUAACAUUAACACAUGGCAUUCUAGGAAUCGGACAAAGCCAUGUGCACCAAAUAGCGAGGCAUUGGUUCUUUUCACCAACUGCAAGCGUUGGAGAAAUAGUGCUUAAACAGGUCCCACUGUGAUUCCUGGGCAAACCUGGAGGAAAAGAGUAACAGCUUGCAGCAAUAUCCGCUGCUUACCCACCAUGACUUUUGCUUAAAAUCAUCACUUCUUUAAGGCUCUAAGACCUCAUGGACAAUCAGAAUUGUGAUGCUAGAAAGUGACCAAGGCUACUAACUCACAUACAAGGAAACUUAAAAGGAGACCAAUUAUAUUCAGCCUUGCUAUGGGUUACUCUAGCAGUUAAAUGUAACCCUAAACGUAACCCUUGACCUAUAGGCCAAAACCUGUUAAAGGACAAGAGCCCUUCUAAUAAGAUGGGAGGGUAUGGGAGGUGAAUGGUCUUUAAAAGUUGGUUAGAGAGGUUCAAAAGUCCUGUCUGGUGGGGAGAGACAGCUUAAAUGACAUAAAUGUCUAUCCUUUUCCACAGCCCUUGAGUAAGACAUUACCACAUGGCCAGGGAGGAGUGGACCCCCAGCAUGACAUUGCUCUGAGAGGUUAGAACACGGCUGUGCUCGUAGACUUGAACGAAACGCAGACACUCACUAAAGGGCCGACACAGCAAUCCUUGCAGCCACUUGUCCUUGAUGCCCACACUCUGGGAGAACUGAGAGAGCUCCACAUAGGUAGAGACAACUUCUCACUAGGGUCGUUUGGAGGUUGGCUCAGGGUACAGGAAUGCCAAUACUUUUCCAGGAAUGUCUGGAAAAGGACACCAAACCAGGUCCAAGGGAAAUUCCUUUUCAGCAGUCGAAGGGCUUUCCUAGCCAAUUUUUUGGCUAAAGUGAUACGUCCCAUGUUGAAACAGACCUGGAGAUGGGAAAAGAAGAAUUAAUGUAAAUAUAAGGUUUUGGAUAUAACACACUGGCUCUUUCAUUUUGAGAUGUGUAGUUGGGGUUACUGAGGUGCUAGAGUGAGCUGAGCUAGAGCAUAGCCUGGUUAGCAGUCACCCUAACAAGCACCAGUAUGGCCAUAAGUGAGUAAAGGGUUUAGAAAAUAGGAUUAUGGAGAAAGUAUCCUCCCUUCUCAUCUCCCACACAUUUGUCAGUGGGCAGUAGAGGAAGGCUGUGAUUUAAAAUGUGAUGCUGCUAGACUGAGAAGGGAUCGUCAUUUGAGUGGAGACUCAGAUGCUCUCACAUGACAUAGAAAGCAUCUAUAAUAUCACCAAAUCCUUUAUCUCUCUUCCUAAACAGGUUGAAUCAUAGUAGAUGUGGGGUGGGAGCUGGGGAACUACCUUGAAGUUAUCCUGUAUCUUCACAUUCUAAGGCUGAAUCCCUCAAGAAAGUGAUAAAGUCUACGUGAUUCUAGAACAAAGAACAAUCUUGGGAGGACUGUACAAUAACUUUCUCUUAUAAAGGGAAAGAAUAAUUAUUUAAC